GAUCAUCAUGAUAAAGCGACAGUCAGAUAAAAAGCAAGGACGCAUCAAAAAGGGAAAUUGACUGAAAUAUAAAGCUUUAUAUAUGUGAAGUGUUUUAAUACAUACAAAUAUUUUCUAUGAUAAAUGAUAAAAUGAUAUAGUCUGUGCAGAAAAUUAAAUAGUCCAUGAGCUACAAGCCCGAAGUCAAGUGGGCCAAGAAAGUCAAAUAGUUGAGGGCCUCGGGAGUCUGGGGUCUAGACCUAAGUUGCUUCCUCUACUUCGGCAAUGCAAUAUAGUAGUACUGACGUUAUACAUACAGUAUCAUCCCGAGUAUCCAAAAUGUGGUUGGCCUGGUCCAUAACUCCAUCGACAAAUGAUCGGUGAACGUCUUUGUCAGCGACAACUGCAUCUCGGGCAACGAUAAUGACAUCCCUCUCAGUAUAUGCAGCAUCUCUACCAUCUAUAGCAGUCAACAUGUGGGAUCUGGCCUGAUCCCGCUCAAAGGUAAGAACACGAACCCGCCGCUCCAACUCAGCCCUCGAUGCGGAUGUAGAAGUAGAAGCUGAGAAGGAGGUAUCCCCGGCCAACAUCUAGGUCAAUCCCAUAAAUAACUCCUCCUCAGAUUGAUCUGCUUGAUAAUCCUCUGGAUCAUCCAUAGGCUCCUCCUUGGAAGAUCCAUCCUCUACCUCGACAGGGUCAUCAGUAACAACCGCCAAUCAGCCUCCAACCACGUCAUAUACUCUGAAGACCGACCAGGAUGACAUCCCUAAACUCGACAGUCUCUUGAUGGGCCCAGAAGUUGAAAACCCUCACUAAUCCGUCCUCAAUGUGACAACCCGGGAAAAAUCAAAUUGUCCAAAAUUUAAGUUUAAAGAAUUAGUUAUUAAUAAAAUAAUUUUUUAUUAAUAAAAUAAUGUUCUAUGUGUUUAUUAAUCGUUCUAGAACCUAGGAUGAUUAUAAAAU
rnacentral:lncRNA from 1 species